rnacentral:rRNA from 1 species
GACGAACGCUGGCGGCGUGCUUAACACAUGCAAGUCGAACGGAAAGGCCCUGCUUUUGUGGGGUGCUCGAGUGGCGAACGGGUGAGUAACACGUGAGUAACCUGCCCUUGACUUUGGGAUAACUUCAGGAAACUGGGGCUAAUACCGGAUAGGAGCUCCUGCUGCAUGGUGGGGGUUGGAAGGUUUCGGCGGUUGGGGAUGGACUCGCGGCUUAUCAGCUUGUUGGUGGGGUAGUGGCUUACCAAGGCUUUGACGGGUAGCCGGCCUGAGAGGGUGACCGGCCACAUUGGGACUGAGAUACGGCCCAGACUCCUACGGGAGGCAGCAGUGGGGAAUAUUGCACAAUGGGCGGAAGCCUGAUGCAGCAACGCCGCGUGCGGGAUGACGGCCUUCGGGUUGUAAACCGCUUUCGCCUGUGGCGAAGCGUGAGUGACGGUAAUGGGUAAAGAAGCACCGGCUAACUACGUG